AAUAGAGAGAGAAGAGCUAAAACUGCUUUCAGGGCCAGAGUGACUCGGCUGAGAUCAGAAAGAACCCGGUGGCAGUAAAACCAUCUAAGGUAAGAGACCGUAAAUUGUUUACUUUGAGUGGUGUAAUUCGAUAUGACUGUGUGUGAACCAUAGUGGCCAUCGCUUUGGUGUAAGCAGAGAAGGUUUUCGAGGGGUAAAUUGUAACAUGGGGAAGUCGAGUCAAUUUUAUGCCGAAAACUAGCUUGUAGGUGGAUGGAAGAGCCACAGCUGAUUAGGUGAACUAGAAUCAAUCGAGCGCUGGAAAGCACCCACAGGAAGAUUUUGAGUAAGCUGUAAUUACAGAGCAUUUUUGCUAACCUUGCCGAUUUGAGGUGACAAAAUCAGAUCUGUUGAAGACGUUUAACAGAUUAUAUACGUGCGUUGAAGGAAAUCCAGAAGUCAGCCAACAUGGGAUCACCAAACAGUAAGCUAGCUAAUUUUUAUACACCAGUUUUCGGUCAAAUAGAAAAAGAAUUAUGGGCAUAAGUGUACACAUAGAAAAGCUGAUCAAAUAUCAUGAUUUUCCUGAAGAAGUGACAUUGAGUAAAGUAAGACUGAAUGUUGUGAGAGAGUCAGUUGAAAAGAACAAAAAAAUAAAUAAACAGAAUGGUUGUUGUAUGUGUUCGUCACGUGUGUAAAGGAUGUACUCAGACUAUAGGUUUUUGGUUAGAAGAGGCUGAAAGACAAGAAUGUAAGCAAAUGCAGAAAGAAUUGGCAUGUAGGGGUGAAAUGAAAAAGAUGGAAGAGAAUGUGUGUGAGAAAACCGCUCCACCGGAGCAAAAUGCUACUAAUGAAAAGUGUGUUUGUGUUUUCCAAUAUGCACCCGAGAUCGGGUCAGCACCGCCGGCUUAUAAACAUCACUACCCUGUGGCAGAGCUGACAGCCCUGAAACUGGACCACGAUCUCAACUGCUCUCCGUUCCAAAGACCAGCAAAAAAUGCAGCAUGAGUAGCAGCGAGAGGAGCGCGAGCAGCGGCAGA